rnacentral:rRNA from 1 species
CUAUAAUGCAGUCGAGCGAUGGAUGUGAGAGCUUGCUCUCAAGAAGUUAGCGGCGGACGGGUGAGUAACACGUGGGUAACCUGCCCAUAAGACUGGGAUAACUCCGGGAAACCGGGGCUAAUACCGGAUAAUAUUUUGAACUGCAUGGUUCGAAAUUGAAAGGCGGCUUCGGCUGUCACUUAUGGAUGGACCCGCGUCGCAUUAGCUAGUUGGUGAGGUAACGGCUCACCAAGGCAACGAUGCGUAGCCGACCUGAGAGGGUGAUCGGCCACACUGGGACUGAGACACGGCCCAGACUCCUACGGGAGGCAGCAGUAGGGAAUCUUCCGCAAUGGACGAAAGUCUGACGGAGCAACGCCGCGUGAGUGAUGAAGGCUUUCGGGUCGUAAAACUCUGUUGUUAGGGAAGAACAAGUGCUAGUUGAAUAAGCUGGCACCUUGACGGUACCUAACCAGAAAGCCACGGCUAACUACGUGCCAGCAGCCGCGGUAAUACGUAGGUGGCAAGCGUUAUCCGGAAUUAUUGGGCGUAAAGCGCGCGCAGGUGGUUUCUUAAGUCUGAUGUGAAAGCCCACGGCUCAACCGUGGAGGGUCAUUGGAAACUGGGAGACUUGAGUGCAGAAGAGGAAAGUGGAAUUCCAUGUGUAGCGGUGAAAUGCGUAGAGAUAUGGAGGAACACCAGUGGUGAAGGCGACUUUCUGGUCUGUAACUGACACUGAGGCGCGAAAGCGUGGGGAGCAAACAGGAUUAGAUACUCUGGUAGUCCACGCCGUCAACGAUGAGUGCUAGUGUUAGAGGGUUUCCGCCCUUUAGUGCUGAAGUUAACGCAUUUAAGCACUCCCGCCUGGGGGAGUACGGCGCCAGGCUGAAACUCAAAGGAAUUUGACGGGCGGCCCCCACAA